rnacentral:rRNA from 1 species
AUUGAACGCUGGCGGCAGGCUUAACACAUGCAAGUCGAACGAGUGGCGGACGGGUGAGUAAUGUCUGGGAAACUGCCUGAUGGAGGGGGAUAACUACUGGAAACGGUAGCUAAUACCGCAUACCAUCGGAUGUGCCCAGAUGGGAUUAGCCAGUAGGUGGGGUAAAGGUUCACCUAGGCGACGAUCCAUAGCGGGUCUGAGAGGAUGACCAGCCACACUUGUACUGAGACACGGUCCAGACUCCUACGGGAGGCCGCAGUGGGGAAUAUUGCACAAUUGGCGCAACCCUGAUGCAGCCAUGCCGCGUGUAUGCGGAAGGCCUUCGGGUUUUAAAGUACUUUCAGCGGGGAGGCGUUACCCGCAGAAGAAGCCCCGGCUAACUCCGUGCCAGCAGCCGCGGUAAUAC